rnacentral:lncRNA from 1 species
GAUGGAAUUAUUUUCACAAAAAAUUACAAAAGCUAAAAAUGAAGCAAAUAUGAUAUACAGCAACUAUCAACAACCACUUCAUUACAGGCUAAGCUUUUUUGACAUAUGAGUUUGAAUGUUCCUUGGUAUCUUUCGUCUCCCUUUUAACCGUCACAAAAACUUUACCACAUCAAUUGUGUGAUGCAAUAUAACCAUAGGCGGUGUCAUCAGGUGUGAAUUAUUGAAAAAUUUACCGAUCUAAUGUUCAUCACACAUUUUACAAUUUUAAUAAAAACAAAGGAGUAAUAAAUGCGUUGAUUUUCUUACGCUACACUUUACUGUCCUCGUUACUUUAUUGAAGUAUUAAGUACAUCGUCUCAUUAAGCAGAGUUUUAUUUAUAAUAGUUCUUUGGUACACAUA